rnacentral:rRNA from 1 species
UACGGAGGGUGCAAGCGUUAUCCGGAUUUACUGGGUUUAAAGGGUGCGUAGGUGGAUUUGUAAGUCAGUGGUGAAAUCUCCGGGCUUAACCCGGAAACUGCCAUUGAUACUAUAAGUCUUGAAUUAUCUGGAGGUAAGCGGAAUAUGUCAUGUAGCGGUGAAAUGCUUAGAUAUGACAUAGAACACCAAUUGCGAAGGCAGCUUACUACGGAUAUAUUGACACUGAGGCACGAAAGCGUGGGGAUCAACAGG